rnacentral:rRNA from 1 species
AUCCAGCCAUGCCGCGUGUGUGAAGAAGGUCUUCGGAUUGUAAAGCACUUUAAGUUGGGAGGAAGGACAGUAAAUUAAUACUUUGCUGUUUUGACGUUACCGACAGAAUAAGCACCGGCUAACUCUGUGCCAGCAGCCGCGGUAAUACAGAGGGUGCAAGCGUUAAUCGGAAUUACUGGGCGUAAAGCGCGCGUAGGUGGUUUGUUAAGUUGAAUGUGAAAUCCCCGGGCUCAACCUGGGAACUGCAUCCAAAACUGGCAAGCUAGAGUAUGGUAGAGGGUAGUGGAAUUUCCUGUGUAGCGGUGAAAUGCGUAGAUAUAGGAAGGAACACCAGUGGCGAAGGCGACUACCUGGACUGAUACUGACACUGAGGUGCGAAAGCGUGGGGAGCAAACAGGAUUAGAUACCCUG